CCGGACCUACGGGGCGCAGCAGUGGGGGAUAUUGCACAAUGGGGGAAACCCUGAUGCAGCGACGCCGCGUGUGGGAGGACGGUCCUCUGGAUUGUAAACCACUGUCCCCAGGGACGAAAAUGACGGUACCUGGGGAGGAAGCUCCGGCUAACUACGUGCCAGCAGCCGCGGUAAUACGUAGGGAGCGAGCGUUGUCCGGAAUUACUGGGUGUAAAGGGAGCGUAGGCGGGGAUGCAAGUUGGGUGUCAAAACUACCGGCUCAACUGGUAGUCGCACUCAAAACUGCAGCUCUUGAGUGAAGGAGG
rnacentral:rRNA from 1 species